UGGAAUGGUCGGGAACAAUGAGCCAAUCGGCGCCCUCUUCCUGCCCGGAGUCCUCAUCUGUGCCUGCAGCAGGAGUUGUUGGGUUGUGUACAAGAAGUACAGGGUGAUCUGUACAAAGACGUGAAGAUGGAGAACUACCGGAGCCUCAGUUCUCCAGGUGAUGAGAAUUCAGAUUCAGAGAUCGUCGUGACAAUUGAUGAUGAUGAUGAUGAUGAUGAUGACGACGAGGAUGAUGAUGA